rnacentral:rRNA from 1 species
AUGUGGAUUAAUUCGAUGCAACGCGAAGAACUUACCUGGCCUUGACAUGGUAGGAACCCUUAAGAGAUUAGGGGUGGCUAGCUUGCUAGAACCUACACACAGGUGCUGCACGGCUGUCGUCAGCUCGUGUCGUGAGAUGUUGGGUUAAGUCCCGCAACGAGCGCAACCCCUAUCUUUAGUUGCCAUCAUUGAGUUGGGCACUCUAAAGAGACUGCCGGUGUCAAACCGGAGGAAGGUGGGGAUGACGUCAAGUCCUCAUGGCCUUUAUGACCAGGGUUACACACGUACUACAAUGGCCGGUACAAAGGGCAGCGACACAGCGAUGUGAAGCCAAUCCCGAAAAGCCGGUCUCAGUCCGGAUUGGAGUCUGCAACUCGACUCCAUGAAGUUGGAAUCGCUAGUAAUCGCGGAUCAGCACGCCGCGGUGAAUACGUUCCCGGGCCUU